UUGGAUGUCUUGGAUACAUAUAUACAUGUUUAUUUGCAUUUGAUAGGGUCUGGAUUAUACAAUUAAAAGUUUGUGGCUAAAUCAAGAGAACCAUAAAGCACAUUUUAAAAAUAUUGGGGUUAACGCGUGAAUAACCAAAACUUGAAGGACCACAGUUGAAAAAAUGAAAUUUCGCCAUUGCAGCCUUGCUCUCGAGCAUAACCCAGCUCACCGACUCAUAGCAGAUCAAACUGGACGACAUCAAUAAGCUCCACGAACCUCAUCCGAUUCCACCCCUUUUCUUUGUUCAUGAUGGCUACAAAAAUGGAGAAAGAUGAAGAAAGACGAACAGGUGGAGAGAAAAUUACAAAAACAGACAAGCGGCGAGGACUCUGGAUUCAUGAUUUUCUUCGACAAUUGAUAAAGAAGAAGGAGAGGGUUUGGUAAAAUUAGGGUUAGAGAAUUGGGGAAAGUAAAUCUGAGAUUCAAAAGUGAUGCUCGAGACGGCUUUUUUUUUAAAAAAAUU
rnacentral:lncRNA from 1 species